UGGGGAAUUUUGGACAAUGGGCGAAAGCCUGAUCCAGCAAUGCCGCGUGUGUGAAGAAGGCCUUCGGGUUGUAAAGCACUUUUGUCCGGAAAGAAAUCCUUGGCUCUAAUACAGUCGGGGGAUGACGGUACCGGAAGAAUAAGCACCGGCUAACUACGUGCCAGCAGCCGCGGUAAUACGUAGGGUGCAAGCGUUAAUCGGAAUUACUGGGCGUAAAGCGUGCGCAGGCGGUUUGCUAAGACCGAUGUGAAAUCCCCGGGCUCAACCUGGGAACUGCAUUGGUGACUGGCAGGCUAGAGUAUGGCAGAGGGGGGUAGAAUUCCACGUGUAGCAGUGAAAUGCGUAGAGAUGUGGAGGAAUACCGAUGGCGAAGGCAGCCCCCUGGGCCAAUACUGACGCUCAUGCACGAAAGCGUGGGGAGCAAACAGGAUUAGAUACCCUGGUAGUCCACGCCCUAAACGAUGUCAACUAGUUGUUGGGGAUUCAUUUCCUUAGUAACGUAGCUAACGCGUGAAGUUGACCGCCUGGGGGAGUACGGUCGCAAGAUUAAAACCUCAAAGGAAUUGACGGGGUCAUAGCUGUUUCCU
rnacentral:rRNA from 1 species